CAGCUGUUUGUCUACAUAUAAGCU
rnacentral:siRNA from 1 species